rnacentral:tRNA from 1 species
GAGAGGGCCAGAAGACCUGCUAAUUCUUCAAUCUGGCAAAUACACCAGCCCUCUCU